GUGGGGAAUUUUGGACAAUGGGCGAAAGCCUGAUCCAGCCAUGCCGCGUGCAGGAUGAAGGCCUUCGGGUUGUAAACUGCUUUUGUACGGAACGAAAAGACUUCUUCUAAUACAGGAGGUCCAUGACGGUACCGUAAGAAUAAGCACCGGCUAACUACGUGCCAGCAGCCGCGGUAAUACGUAGGGUGCAAGCGUUAAUCGGAAUUACUGGGCGUAAAGCGUGCGCAGGCGGUUAUAUAAGACAGAUGUGAAAUCCCCGGGCUCAACCUGGGAACUGCAUUUGUGACUGUAUAGCUAGAGUACGGUAGAGGGGGAUGGAAUUCCGCGUGUAGCAGUGAAAUGCGUAGAUAUGCGGAGGAACACCGAUGGCGAAGGCAAUCCCCUGGACCUGUACUGACGCUCAUGCACGAAAGCGUGGGGAGCAAACAGGAUUAGAAACCCUGGUAGUCC
rnacentral:rRNA from 1 species